rnacentral:rRNA from 1 species
AGAGUUUGAUCCUGGCUCAGGACGAACGCUGGCGGCGUGCCUAACACAUGCAAGUCGAGCGAAUGAAGUUCCUUCGGGAACGGAUUUAGCGGCGGACGGGUGAGUAACACGUGGGCAACCUGCCUCAUAGAGGGGAAUAGCCUUCCGAAAGGGAGAUUAAUACCGCAUAAGAUUGUAGUACCGCAUGGUACAGCAAUUAAAGGAGCAAUCCGCUAUGAGAUGGGCCCGCGGCGCAUUAGCUAGUUGGUGAGGUAACGGCUCACCAAGGCGACGAUGCGUAGCCGACCUGAGAGGGUGAUCGGCCACAUUGGGACUGAGACACGGCCCAGACUCCUACGGGAGGCAGCAGUGGGGAAUAUUGCACAAUGGGGGAAACCCUGAUGCAGCAACGCCGCGUGAGUGAUGACGGCCUUCGGGUUGUAAAGCUCUGUCUUCAGGGACGAUAAUGACGGUACCUGAGGAGGAAGCCACGGCUAACUACGUGCCAGCAGCCGCGGUAAUACGUAGGUGGCGAGCGUUGUCCGGAUUUACUGGGCGUAAAGGGAGCGUAGGCGGAUUUUUAAGUGAGAUGUGAAAUACUCGGGCUUAACCUGAGUGCUGCAUUUCAAACUGGAAGUCUAGAGUGCAGGAGAGGAGAAGGGAAUUCCUAGUGUAGCGGUGAAAUGCGUAGAGAUUAGGAAGAACACCGGUGGCGAAGGCGCUUCUCUGGACUGUAACUGACGCUGAGGCUCGAAAGCGUGGGGAGCAAACAGGAUUAGAUACCCUGUAGUCCACGCCGUAAACGAUGAAUACUAGGUGUAGGGGUUGUCAUGACCUCUGUGCCGCCGCUAACGCAUUAAGUAUUCCGCCUGGGGAGUACGGUCGCAAGAUUAAAACUCAAAGGAAUUGACGG